GACGAACGCUGGCGGCGUGCUUAACACAUGCAAGUCGAACAGAAAGGCCCUGCUUUUGUGGGGUGCUCGAGUGGCGAACGGGUGAGUAACACGUGAGUAACCUGCCCUUGACUUUGGGAUAACUUCAGGAAACUGGGGCUAAUACCGGAUAGGAGCUCCUGCUGCAUGGGGGGGGUUGGAAAGUUUCGGCGGUUGGGGAUGGACUCGCGGCUUAUCAGCUUGUUGGUGGGGUAGUGGCUUACCAAGGCUUUGACGGGUAGCCGGCCUGAGAGGGUGAACGGCCACAUUGGGACUGAGAUACGGCCCAGACUCCUACGGGAGGCAGCAGUGGGGAAUAUUACACAAUAGGCGGAAGCCUGAUGCAGCAACGCCGCGUGCGGGAUGACGGCCUUCGGGGUGUAAACCGCUUUCGCCUGUGACGAAGCGUGAGUGACGGUAAUGGGUAAAGAAGCACCGGCUAACUACGUG
rnacentral:rRNA from 1 species